rfam:Pteropus alecto contig9118, whole genome shotgun sequence.
CUGUCUCUUGCUCCUACAGUGUUUGGAUGGAACAG